UCGCAACCACCGUCUUUUGUUUGGCGCCAUAGUUUGAGAGUUUUGGUUCGCAACGGCUCUUUUUCCCGCCUUUAUAUCCUUUUAGUGAUUCCCGAUUUUGCCCCCAGUUUACUUUCCCGCGAGGUUUCUUUCUUUAGUCAAACUGAAAUUAACUCGGUUUAACUUCAGUUCGUCAGUUUGUUGGUCAUCAAAACGACGUCGGUUUUGACACACUGAAUUUUCCCCAUCACUUUAAAUAUUCAUCUGCCUUCUCUCUAAUUUUG